UACGUAGGGUGCAAGCGUUAUCCGGAAUUAUUGGGCGUAAAGAGCUCGUAGGCGGUUUGUCGCGUCUGCUGUGAAAACUGGAGGCUCAACCUCCAGCCUGCAGUGGGUACGGGCAGACUAGAGUGUGGUAGGGGGAGACUGGAAUUCCUGGGUGUAGCGGUGAAAUGCGUUGAUAUCGGAAGGAACGCCGGUGGCGAAAGCGGCGUGCUGGCCCUCUUCUGACGCUGAGGCGCGAAAGCCAGGGGAGCGAACGGG
rnacentral:rRNA from 1 species